rnacentral:rRNA from 1 species
UAGCAUAUGCUUGUCUCAAAGAUUAAGCCAUGCAUGUCUAAGUAUAAAGGUAUUUUAUACUUGAAACUGCGAACGGCUCAUUAAAUCAGUUAUAGUUUAUUUGAUGAUGAAUGAAUUACAUGGAUACCUGCAGUAAUUCUGGAGCUAAUACAUGCAUAAAGAUCCGACUCGCAAGGGAAGGGUUGUAUUUAUUAGAUAAAAAACCAAUGCGCAGCAAUGCGGUUAAUUGGUGAUUCAUAAUAACUGUUCGGAUCGCAUGGCCUUGUGCCGGCGAUAGU